GGAGAGGUAAUAUAGUAAUCGUGUUGCAGAGAGAGAGGUAAUGUAGUAAUAGUGUUGCAGAGAGAGAGAGUAGGGUAAUAUAGUAAUAGUGUUGCAGAGAGAGAGAGGUAAUGUAGUAAUAGUGUUGCAGAGAGAGUAGGGUAAUAUAGUAAUAGUGUUGCAGAGAGAGGUAAUAUAGCAAUAGUGUUGCAGAGAGAGAGAGAGGUAAUAUAGUAAUAGUGUUGCAGAGAGAGAGAGAGAGGUAAUAUAGUAAUAGUGUUGCAGAGAGAGAGAGAGGUAAUAUAGUAAUAGUGUUGCAGAGAGAGAGAGAGGUAAUAUAGUAAUAGUGUUGCAGAGAGAGAGAGGUAAUAUAGUAAUAGUGUUGCACAGAGAGAGAGAGGUAAUAUAGUAAUAGUGUUGCAGAGAGAGAGAGUAGGGUAAUAUAGUAAUAGUGUUGCAGAGAGAAAGAGGUAAUAUAGUAAUAGUGUUGCAGAGAGAGAGAAAGAGGUAAUAUAGUAAUAGUGUUGCAGAGAGAAAGAGGUAAUAUAGUAAUAGUGGUGCAGAGAAAGAGAAAGAGGUAAUAUAGUAAUAGUGUUGCAGAGAGAGAGAGAGAGAGAGGUAAUAUAGUAAUCGUGUUGACGAGAGAGGUAAUAUAGUAAUCGUGUUGACGAGAGAGAG
ensembl:lncRNA